CCUACGGGAGACAGCAGUGGGGAAUAUUGGGCAAUGGGCGCAAGCCUGACCCAGCAACGCCGCGUGAAGGAAGAAGGCUUUCGGGUUGUAAACUUCUUUUCUCAGGGACGAAGAAAGUGACGGUACCUGAGGAAUAAGCCACGGCUAACUACGUGCCAGCAGCCGCGGUAAUACGUAGGUGGCAAGCGUUAUCCGGAUUUACUGGGUGUAAAGGGCGUGUAGGCGGGACUGCAAGUCAGAUGUGAAAACCACGGGCUCAACCUGUGGCCUGCAUUUGAAACUGUAGUUCUUGAGUACUGGGGAGGCAGACGGAAUGCGUAGUGUAGCGGUGAAAUGCGUAGAUAUUAGGAGGAACACCAGUGGCGAAGGCGGUCUGCUGGACAGCAACUGACGCUGAGGCGCGAAAGCGUGGGGAGCAAACAGGAUUAGAUACCCCAGUAGUC
rnacentral:rRNA from 1 species